rnacentral:lncRNA from 1 species
AGCACCCAUAAACAAUAUCACCUUCAAGUAAUCACAUCAAAUGGAUGUUGGUCAGUGGCGUCACAAAACCCUCGACAAGCCGUCCUCGCACAUGGCCUCUCCUCUCAUAUGUGUGCACUAGGGAGCCAAUCCCCCAUAUAUGGCCAACCGGUCUAAUCCUCACUUGAUCAGUCCUCUCAUUAUUUUUUCAUUCUCUCUUUUCUUUUCAUUACCAACAGGAGGCCACCCUAUGGUUUAACUAUAUUAUCCAUAUCAUAUUUCAUCAGAUGUACGUGGAGGCGCUGAUCUCACAUACAUGGCCAAUGGUCCCAAACCGUCCUCAUAAUCCCAUAGUGAACCACUUCAUCCCAAUUCCACCCAGAAAGAAGGCACAUCAUUAUCAUAUCACAAGUAGUCCAAACAAUUCAUUCAAUAUAAUAGAUCAUAUGGAUAGUUAAUAUGCAACAUAUGUGUAAUCAUGGUAUAUGAUUAUAUAACAUUUGCAUAGUUAUAAUAUUAUAUACUUAUAUGGUAGUUAACAAUAACAAUAAUUAUAUUUCAACAAUAUUAUUUUAAUAUAUGAAGAUAAAAGCUGAGUACUGGAUAUAUUUAGAUAGUAUAGGAUGAAUGAUAUAUGUAUGCAGAUAAUGCUAUGCAUCAUUUAUUAUUACUCACAGUGAUAAAAGAAGAAGCAAGCCUUCAUUUGGAUUUUGAUUAGCAGGAGCGGUAGACAAACUCGGACGAUCUAGAUAAAACACAAAUAUAAAGAAAAGACUGUAUUAAACAGAUGACUUUUCUUAAAUAAUAAUUAACCUAACAUAUAUCUGCUUAGAUAUUGGACUACUUUAAUUAAUCUAAAUCUUAUCGAUAUUUCUGAUAGUAUUUUCCCUCAAAUAGAACUUUCAAUUUGCUCAAGUAUUAACUAUUUAAUACACUUAUCGAUUAUCACUCACAUAGCCCAUCCAUUGGGCAAUCAGUAAUGCAAUCAUCAUAAGUAAUAAUUUUACUUCAUCGAAUCCCAAGACAUCCCCAAAUAUUUUUACUUCAUCUCAAAAUAAUUUACUUCCUUAAUCAGUCACAAAAUAAUAGUUCUCUUAUACACACAAUAUAAACAAUCCUUUACUUAAUUAACCUUACUAGAAAUAUAUUCUUCUUUAAUUAAAUCCAGAUUACUAAAAAUAAGACUUCCUUCAGAUUAUCAUUUUAACUCAUGUAAUAUAAUUCUAAUUCCAAAAUAAUUGAUACUCAUCCAACAAUGAGUUUCUUUUUAACUUAAAUCACUUUUCGUCCUCAAGAUGAUUUGUAUAACACUUAAGUGUCGAAUUUGCUUUCUCAUUUAGUCUAUAGUUCUUAAUAAUGCGUAGCUCAAUUUAAAUCAAGGGACCAAUAUAAUUUAAUUACAUUUCCAAUUCUUUUCCUUUUCAAUAAUCAUAUUUCUUAUGACCAAGUAUUUAAUUUAUAUGCUUUACCUAAUUCAUCUAAAAUCUACAUUAAUUUCAUAUUUAUCAAAAUUCCCAAUUUAUUCACAUGGUAAUAAUUAUAAUUUGCUUAUUUUAUUCUUAACUCUUAAUUCUUUUAAUCAAAAUUAAUUCAACUCAAUAACAAUAAUUUCUGAAUUUAAAAUUUAUAUUGAAUUUAAUAAACUGAAACUUAAACUAUAUCGAUUCAAAAUCGGAUUUCGGAUUCAGGCUCAGUGGGUAAUACUAAAGUUUCUACCUCUUGGGGUCUUGCCAGCCAGUCGUCGGACCACCAUUCAAGAUGGCCGGUAAAUUGUGGUUGCUCAGACUUUGUCGUGACCUAAAAUUAUAGGCUAGACCGGCACUAGGGCCCAAGUAAGCUUAAGGCCCCUGAGGCCUGUAGUAAGCCUUAACUACCAAACUCAUACACGCCACGCAAAAUCCUAGUAGCAGUAAGCACACACACACACACACACACACACACACACAUAUAUAUAUAUAUAUAUAUAUAGUAAUCACAUGAUCCUGGUCCAAUCUCAAACAUCUCGAAUAAAAUAUAGUUCGGGCCCAUUAGUAAGACACCUCGUUCACAAUAUGGGCUACUGAUUCAUAUGUAUUUAGAUAAAUAAUAAGGACAUUCAUAGAUUAGCAUACCUUUUUAAAUACAAGAUUAGAGAUAUAUAAAUCCUACAACUGCGGAGUUCAGCAAUAGUUAGAAGUAGUGAAGUUUUUACAUAUAACAAUACAUAAAUUAGCUAAUUACAAAAAUUAGGAAUUUACUUUUAUAACCCUGCGGAGAAGAUUGCAGAGCUUUAGUCGGAUCAAUGGGCUUCUACUUCCUAACAACUUAAAUAAAAAAGAGUGAGUUUUGCAACUCAGUGAAUAAUAAUAAAUAAUUCAUAACAUAAGCAUUCACGCGCAAUGCAUCCUAAGAUACUAAAGUGAACAUAUAACCAGUCAAGCAUAUGGUACAACAUCAGCACUCACAAGUAAUUUCACCUUCAAAUAAUCAAACAAGUCGAAAUCAGCCAGUGGCACACCGAAAUCCUGACAAGCGUCCUCCCAUAUGGCCUGCCCUCUCAAACAUGUGCACCAGGGAGCCGACCCCUCAUAAAUGGCCGACCGGUCUAAUUCUCACUUGACCAGCCCUCUCUAUGUUUUAUUCUCUCUUUUCUUUUCCAUACCAACAGGCGGCCACCCUAUGAUUUUCUAUAUCAUAUAUCAUCAAAUGCACAUGGGGGCGCUAAUCUCCCCAUACAUGGCCAACGGUAUCGAAGAUCGCCCUCACAAACCCAUGGUGACCCACUUCAUCCCAAUUCCACUCAAACAAUGCACAAUAAUUUCACAGCACAAGUAAUCAAACAAUUCACCCAGUAUAAUGCACCAAAUCAAUAAUUAUUAUGCAACAUAAAAGAAUAUAAUUAAUAUGUAAGGAAAUGUAUAUAAACAUAGUCAUAUAUUAAUAAUAACAUAGUAAUAUAAUAAAAUAAAUGCUAAGUUAUCUUUUAAUUAUUCCUUUAUAAAGUAAAUAAUAUAUGCAUACAAAUGAUAGUAUGCACUAUUUAUUAUUACUCACAAUGAUAGAGAAAAGAAGGUGCUCUAUCUCGGAUUUUGAUUUGGAGGAGCAGGAGACAGGUCCAGACGAUCUAAAGAAUUUAAGAAUAUAAGGAAAGAAUUGCAUCAGACAAAGGACUAAUUUAAAUAAAGAAUUAGGGAAUUAAUCUAAUAAACUAUCUACGUAUCUAACUACUAAAACUAGACUGGAUUCUACCGAAAUUUCGGGAACAUCUCCCCUAAAAAUUGGACCUUCCACUUCUUUAAAUAUCAACAAUUUCAUUAACUAUCCAUCCAAUCCACACAGCCCAUCCGUCGGGCAAUCAAUCAAGUUAAAUUCCCAUCCUCUUUUAAUAGUCAUAUGACCACACAACCAUAAUUUUUAAAUUAUAAAAACCCUCAAUUAUAACUUAAAAAUAAUCUUCCAACUUAUUACGACAAUAUUAUUAAUUCCUCUUACCUUACAUCAAUAUAAUUAGCUUCUUUAGUUAACUACCAAAUAAAUAAAAUCUUCUAUAAAUAUAAAUAUAAAUAAAUCUUAUACCAAUAUUCUUUAAACAAUACCUGCGCGUUAAAUAUCUCAAGUUUAACCACUUUAUAUCCGCUUAUAUACAUAUAUAUGUCAUAAUCCAAACGUAAACUUCUGACAUGCUUUGCUUUCUCUAAACCAACAUAAGAACCAUCCCUUGUAAUAGCUACCAUUAUACAAAACUUUGAGUUUUCCUCCAAAACUCAUGUUUCACGCUAUAAUCAAUUCAUUCUUAACAUAAUUAUUUGUAUAAUACCAUUCCUCCUAAAAAGGUAGAACUCAUAGAAAUAUUUAAGUUAGUUGCUGCCAUAGAUAAAAGAUCCUUGAUUUCUUUGCAAACAUUUGUAGUUUAAGCGGAUAAUCUACAUAUUUCUAUAUAAGAAUUCAAAUUGUAUACCUAUUUAAAGAGCAAAAAUUGAAAUUCCUAAUCAUAUUCAUAUAAAUGGUAACUGCAUAUCCAAAUUUCUACAAUAGCUCAAUUAUAUUCCUCAAAUCCUUAAACUAAGAUCAAAUAACUCUUGAAUAAAAUUUAAGAGUCAUAAUAUGGUUUACUUAGCUGCAAAACGGGCUGGAAAUUGAAAUUUUCCUGUUAAAAAGACCGGCAGUAGCAACAAGGCACCAACACAGUCACUACCGCUGCUGACUUGACCAGAAAUGAGUGGAAAGGCGAUCGGAGGCACGCUGGAUGCGAGGAGAGAGCGUAGUCCAAAUGGUCCUUGGCUGGACUCGUUGAAAAAUGGAACGAGAAGCGUUGAAGGUGGCUACCGAUUGGAAAAAUGAAGUGUAGCUCAUUGUCCAUCCUCUUUCUCAUUGAAUCGCGAGCUACCAGUGACCAGAGGUGGAGCAACGGCAUUUGAGGGGUGCUUGAGAUGAGGUGGUUGGCUGGCUAUGGGCUGGUGUCACCAGAAAAUCGAGGAGACAACUGCAACGCGGCUUCCAGAUAGAGGCAAAGUCGCAGCUCCUCCUGCGACAUUGCAUUCACCAAAAACGAAGGAAGAGAGGGAAGUAGAGGCUAGAGACGUGCGGUGAGGAGGCAAUGGCGGCAGGGAGUGGUGGCGGAGGCACUCUGGUGGUUGAAAACAUGAAAGGAGAAGAGGGGGAGGGUGAGGUCGGCGCUGAAGGGGAUAGGGGGUUUCUAGGAUAGUUUGGGUUAGGUUCUUGACUGAAUUGAUUUUAUUCGGGUUUGGUUAGGUACAAAUCGUGAUUUUUGUAUGAUUUUCGAAUUUCAAUCGGUUUUAUUUGGGUUUUCAUUUAAUUGUGGGUUUAGUUCAACUAUAUAAAUUAUACGUUUGCAUAUAACUGGUUAAAUAAAUUCAUAUGGUGUUAAUUUAUUAAAUUUUUAAAUGAUAAAUUUUUGAAAAUAAAGUUGUUUUAGAAUCAAGCCCUCUUCAUGCUGUUUUGUUCAAAUUUUACUCAAGAAUUCAUAUUUGGUGUCGGUUGGGCGAGAUCAACCCUCUGAUCCGCCGGAACGGGCUCAACAGGAGCCAAGUGUCACCGUUAACAUCGCCGUUGAUCGACGAAAAGAGAUCAUAGCUUUCCUGUGUUGCAGCUCUCGCCGAAGUCACGAGCGAGGAGAGGAUGUGACAUUCAGCAGUGACCGGAGGAGGAUCGACUUUGAGCGGCGAUCGAACAUCGAGGUCGAAGCUGCUGUUGUGUUCUCCAGAAACAAAAACAAAGGAAGAGAAAGGGAAAGGCUGGUAGUGUGAUGGCAAGGAGUGGUGGCAUCGCCUGGCUCAAGUGGUCAGAGAAAUGGAAGAGAGAGAAGGGGGGAGAGUGCCUGACUGCCGCUCAAUCGAUGGAGAAGAAAGAAGAAGAAGAAAAGAAAGAAAAGAAAAAGAAGAGAAAGAAGCUUUUAGCGUGUGCUAGGUCUUUCCGGUUUAAUUUGAACCGAUUUGCUCUAAAUCAAGAUUUAAUCCAAUUUUUACUUGGUUUUGAAGAUUUCAAACUGGUUUACGGGUCUGAUUAAGCAAUAAUAAAAUGUUUUAUCAUACAAUCUCAUGGUUAAUAUUAAAAUUUUAUUUUUAAAUAAGAAAUCUAUGAAAAUCAAUUUUUGGGUUAUUUCAAUUCACCCCUUCUUAGGAAAAUUCAUCCUCAAAUUGAAAAUUUACUGAAGGAAAGAGAAGAAAACACAUUUAUUGAAGACGUAGAUAUAAUUCAAUUAUCACAUCAUCAAAAAGAAUAGUGAAGUGCUUGUAAUAUUGACUAGAAUAAAAGUAAAGUGCAAUCAUUACUUUUACUCUUAGACCAUUACUUCAAAUACUUCUGCUUAUAUCAGAAAGGUAUCCACCAUCGCUACAAAAAAUCGAGUUUUUGCUACCGAUAUUUACGAUCGACACAAAUCAAUCGCAAUUUUGCUACCGAUUGGGAUGAUUGUGAUAGUGAAUAUGUUACGACUGAGUUGCGACCAAAUGGCGACAGAAUUUGCGACUGAUACUCAAUCUGUCGUUAAUUGUAGCGCUAAUAAUUUUCGCCAGUUUGUUUUCUAUUUUGUGACAAGUUUAAUACGGAUUUGCGACCGAUUUUGCGACAAUGUAUUUUUUCGUUGCAAAAUUGUGCGCUUCAAAUUCAGGACCAAAUUUCUGCGAAGCAUUAGUGACCGAUUUGCAACUGAUUGGUUGCGACUGACCAUUGUGAUCGCAAAUCGAUCGCAAAUUUGCUGUAAAGUAAAAUGCAUCGCAGAGUUAAAAAUUGCGACCGAUCUGUCGGUCGCAAAUUUUGGGGCUUUAUUAAACGCCAGCGCCUUCCUUCUUCUAUCUUCUCCUCCUUUCUUCUCCUCCUCCGUUCACAGCGCCGUUCCCAGCGGCUUGAUGCCUCCUUCUCUGCUCCAUUGCAGCACUGGUCGCUGGAGGAUCCCUUCUCCUCGUCGUUCGCGGUCGUCAGUUCAGGUAUGUUUCUUUUUUUUUUUUUUGGGAACUUCUAUUUUUUUUUGUUGUUCUUGUAGUUGCAUGACAAAAAAUAAGUUUUUAUUUAGUUGUUUUAGCUGUUGUAGUUGUGAUUUAGUUGGUAUUUUGCAUUGUGUGUGUUAUUAAAAAGAAUGACAAAAGGAAAAAAGAAAAUCAAGGCUAUUGUAAUGAUAAUUUGGAAUUUUUUAUAAUUUAGGAAAAAUUAUAUAUGUAAUUUAAUCAAUGUAAUUUUAUGUAAUGCAAUUUUAAAAUUUUAGUUCAUGUUGAAUUGAUUGAAAAAUAAAAAAUUACAUCUUAUUAAUUAAUGUUAAAAAAAGAACUAAAUCAAUUAAUAUAUGUGUAAGUAAAUAAAUUUAAUUGUGUAACUAAAAUAAAUGACAAAUAAACAUAAUUGUGUAACUAAAAUAAAUGAAAAAUAAACAUAAUUGUGAAACUAAAAUAAAUGACAAAUAAAUUUAUUCGUUUUUUUGUAAUUAUGAAAUAAUGCAUUUUAUUUGUUAUUAUUGUUGUUAUAAUUCUUUCUUUUUUUUUUUUUGUUAUGAAAUGAAUGAUGCAUUUGCGUUGGAGGCCUAGUAGUGGUCAUUUUGCCUUUAGAGAAUGUUGGUAUGAUAUAGAAGUGUUUAUUGAAGUGUGUUUUGAUUUGAGAUUUGAUUGUGUUAUGCCGAAGUGCUGUCGAAUUUUUUUAAAAAAAAAAACUGAAUAAGAGGAAUCAUACAACUUACUGUAUAUAUAAUAAUUCUCAUGUUAUUUGUGUCACGAUCCGAUUCCAUGGGUCGGACCGGCACUAGGGCCCAGGUAAGCUUAAGGCCCCCGAGACCCGUAGUAAACCUGAAACACUAAAAAUUUACUAUCUCAAUAGAAUUUUAAACAUUCAGCCCAAAUUUAUAGGAAAAUAAACCUUAAAGAUUUUAUUAAUCUCGGCCCAAAUUUAUCAGCUACCACAUUCUACAGUUCGGGCCCAAUUAACAAUACAUCACAUUUUUAAUAUGGGCUCACAGAAUAAUUUCGUCUAUGAUAAUACACGACUAAAUGUAAAUAAAUUCUACAACUGCGGAGUCACUAACUGAUAGAUAUACAUAGAUUUUUAUACAUAUAGAUACAUGGCAAAAUAAUUAUUGAACUAGGAAAAUUUUCUUUCUAGACCUGCAGCGAUGGAACAUAGCUUAACCGAAUUAAAGAAAAACUUACUUCCUGAAAAAUUAAACAAGACAUGUGAGUUUUCUAAGAAGUAAUACUUAUUGCACAACACAUGCAUUCACACAAAUGUAUAAAUAUAUCAAUCUAGUCAUCCGACUAGUUAUAUGCUCACGCAGCCAGUCACACAAAUGACAUGUCACCAGCACUCACAAUAUCACCUUCAAAUAAUCACAUCACGUGGAAAUUAGUCAGUGACGUCACCUAAACCCCCGACGAGCCGUCCUCUCAAACAGCCCAUCCUCUCAAACAUGUGCACCCAGGGAGCCAAUCCCCAUAUCUGGCCGACCGGUCUAAUCCUCACUUGACCAGUCCUCUCAAUAUUUUAUUUUACAUUUUCUCUUUUCUUUUCCAUAUCAUCAACAUCAUUU